rnacentral:tRNA from 1 species
GGUAAUGUGGCUCAGUGGUAGAGUACUUGCUUGCAUGCAAUGAAGCCCUGGGUUCGAUUCCUCAGCACCA